GUGAAGCCUCCCAAGCCACAUGAAACUGGUUGAUCGUUGCAGUCAUUACACACACUGGUUCAUGGUGAACAUUGGAAGCUUGCCUCCAUAUUCUCUGACCAAAGAAGCCACGUAGUGGUUCUCCCUUUUAAAAAAGUUCUUUACAAUCAGCUGCAGCCAGUUUUUGAUUUUGGAGAACUUUAUCUAGAACUGUGACAUUUUGUGGAGUUUUAUACAUUGGAAUGUCCUGUUCACUAACCCAUUGAUAGGAGAGGGGUGCGACCCCCUUGCUGCAACUCACUCACUGCUUCUCAUUUGGUGAUUGAUCAAGUUCUACCAUAUAGACUACUGAAGUUUUCAUUAUGAACUGUCAACUCUUAAGGAUAAAGAGCAUUGUUCCAAAAGACAUCUUUUUAAGAACUAGGAAGAGUGGGAAGAAUAUUAGCCUCCUCCAAGUCAAUAAUAAGGAUUCUUAUUAGAGGAUUCUGAUGAGGCCACUUACACAUGUAUAGAAAGACAGGGCCAGGUGUGGUGGCUUACGCCUGUAAUCCCAGCACUUUGGGAGGCCGAGGCAGGCAGAUUACUUGAGGUCAGGAGUUCAAGGCCAGCCUAGUCAACAUGGUGAAAUCCCAUCUCUACUAAAAAUACAAAAAGUAGCCGGGCAUGGUGGCAGGCACCUAUAAUCCCAGUUACCAGGGAGGCUGAGGCAGGAAAAUUGCUGGAACCCAGGAGACGGAGGUUGCAGUGAAGCCAAUGUACUCCAGCCUGGGCAACAAGAACAAAACUCCGUCUCAAAAAACAAAAAGAAAGACAAAAAUCAAGGAUCUACAACAUAUGGAAGAAGAAGGGGUUCCCUGAAGAUACAUCUGGUAAUUUCACUAUGUUUUGCAGGCCAAGACUUAAUAGUGAAAAUAAUUCAACUUUUCAGCUUAAAAACAAAAAACAAAAAAACAAUUUUCUCCUAAACAUGUAACUAUUGAAAAAUCUAAGAUACAGGGAAUCAGAAGCAAUGUAUGAGAGAAGGCAUAUGUUUGGUUAAUGUGUUUCAUUAUAUGUUAAAUGUAGUUCCCCACUACUGAUGUUCAAUAGAUAAA
rnacentral:lncRNA from 1 species